rnacentral:lncRNA from 1 species
CUAGGUCAAGGGCAAAGAAAGUUCUAGAUCCUGGGUCUCCAUCGGUUUUUGUUCAGAAGACUCCAUUCUAUCUCUCACAUCCUUAUCCCAUUUGGCUGCUAGGGUACCAGGGACUCAUCUAUGAGUACAUUUGAGACAGACUCAUCUCUCUGGGGGAAAUUCAUACAGCAAUCUGGACUUACUUAGUUCAUUAUAAGUGAGACAGACUUUUAAAAAGUUGCUCAAGAAGGGCUGCCCCACUUCAUCUGGCAUGGGGCCUGUCAUUCUUGGAGUUCUAAUGCUGGCAUCAGCUGUCCUUGCAAGGAGAACUCAGUGGCUGGAACUGUACACUCUGCUCUUUAACCACUGGCUCCGGUAGCUGGUGAAGAAGAAUAAAGAAAAGAGGAAUAGAUUUUAAAACCGGGUGUUUUCUAUGUACCCAAAGAGGAGGGGGGUUGAGGAAAUAAAUACCUUCUUAGCAUAUCUAAUUUGAAUUAUGUUCUACCCAAAUCCAGAAUUGUCUCCUUCAGCCACUGAGAGAAAGAGAGGAGACAAAAUCAUGCAACAUUUCCAGCGAGACUGAACCCACAAGUGCUGAGAGCUCCUCGAGUUCUGCUUUGACACUACAUUGACGCUCCAUGGCAUGAAAAGGGGCUGGCUUCCUAAUGUGGAGAGGAAGUUUAUGCAUUCUAAGUAACCUGGAUUUUAAACAUUCUAUUUUAAGGACCUCCUUGUCUUCUAAGAGUGGAACUUGCCCAGAUUUUCCUUAAUUCAAGGGAAGAGAAGCUGCUCUCUCCUUGGACGUCCUGCCCACCUAGGCACCUGGGGUCCAUCUUUCAUCUGGCUCUAAUCAUCUUGGCCAAGAACACGCCUCCUGACUCCCCUCAGCACAGACCCCACAGUUUUCUGGAAGGCUGUCUCCAAAGCACACAGAAGAACAGGAGGCUUCCUCUGCACCCUGAUUUGUGUUAAAGGCACGUUUUUAUUUCCAAACUUGAGAGUUAUUAUGAAAGAAAGUAUAUUUUAUGGAUUUGUUUUGUUCUGUUUUGUUUUGUUUUUAUGGAGGGAACCGUAGGUGAUACAAGUUGGGGGUGAUCUGUUUUCUUUUGUUAAAAAUGAUAUUGCUUGGCUCCUUUAAGAAGUCCCAAGUUGCAGAUAUUGAAGCAAGCUGAGUCACUCCAUGGCAGAAUUAGGAACAGCUGGGGACAGACACUAGCUGUAAAUACAAGGGCUUGAGGAAGAGAAUGGCUCUCUAGGACAGAGUCCAAGGUUCAACCCAAACCCAGAAGGGGAUUUUCACAGAUUUGGUCUCUCGAAUGAUGACAAACCCUGUGCAUUCUGAAGCAAGCAUUUUCCUAAGGUAGUGGCCAGUCUUUGGUGCUGUCACUCAACCUCCAGUAAUGGUUUGGUGGCCACAGGCAUGCUCCUCCUCCUAUUCAGUGGCUGAGUAUCCUGUUGGCCUCAGAAGAACUCGGCCCAAAUUGCUG